GGGCCAUAGCUCAGCUGGGAGAGCGCCUGCCUUGCACGCAGGAGGUCAGGAGUUCGAUCCUCCUGGCUCACCA
rnacentral:tRNA from 1 species